rnacentral:rRNA from 1 species
UGGGGAAUAUUGGACAAUGGGCGCAAGCCUGAUCCAGCCAUGCCGCGUGAGUGAUGAAGGCCCUAGGGUUGUAAAGCUCUUUUGUGCGGGAAGAUAAUGACGGUACCGCAAGAAUAAGCCCCGGCUAACUUCGUGCCAGCAGCCGCGGUAAUACGAAGGGGGCUAGCGUUGCUCGGAAUCACUGGGCGUAAAGGGUGCGUGGGCGGGUCUUUAAGUCAGGGGUGAAAUCCUGGAGCUCAACUCCAGAACUGCCUUUGAUACUGAAGAUCUUGAGUUCGGGAGAGGUGAGUGGAACUGCGAGUGUAGAGGUGAAAUUCGUAGAUAUUCGGAAGAACACCAGUGGCGAAGGCGACUAACUGGACAUGUAUUGACGCUGAGGUGCGAAAGCGUGGGGAGCAAAC